AACGCACAUUGCGCCCGCUAGUAUUCUGGCGGGCAUGCCUGUCUGAGCGUCAUUUCAACCCUCGCGCCCGGCUUCUUGUCGGAUGCGGUGUUGGGGAUCGACCUGCCGUCUGACGGAGGGUCGGCCCCGAAAUGGAGUGGCGACCACGCCGUAGCCUCCUCUGCGUAGUAACAUAUCACCUCGCAGGCGGAGAGCGGUGCGGUCAUGCCGUAAAACACCCAACUUUACCAAGGUUGACCUCAGAUCAGGUAGGAAUACCCGCUGAACUUAA
rnacentral:misc_RNA from 1 species